rnacentral:rRNA from 1 species
CCUGGCUCAGGAUGAACGCUAGCUACAGGCUUAACACAUGCAAGUCGAGGGGCAGCAUGGUCUUAGCUUGCUAAGGCCGAUGGCGACCGGCGCACGGGUGAGUAACACGUAUCCAACCUGCCGUCUACUCUUGGACAGCCUUCUGAAAGGAAGAUUAAUACAAGAUGGCAUCAUGAGUCCGCAUGUUCACAUGAUUAAAGGUAUUCCGGUAGACGAUGGGGAUGCGUUCCAUUAGAUAGUAGGCGGGGUAACGGCCCACCUAGUCUUCGAUGGAUAGGGGUUCUGAGAGGAAGGUCCCCCACAUUGGAACUGAGACACGGUCCAAACUCCUACGGGAGGCAGCAGUGAGGAAUAUUGGUCAAUGGGCGAGAGCCUGAACCAGCCAAGUAGCGUGAAGGAUGACUGCCCUAUGGGUUGUAAACUUCUUUUAUAAAGGAAUAAAGUCGGGUAUGGAUACCCGUUUGCAUGUACUUUAUGAAUAAGGAUCGGCUAACUCCGUGCCAGCAGCCGCGGUAAUACGGAGGAUCCGAGCGUUAUCCGGAUUUAUUGGGUUUAAAGGGAGCGUAGAUGGAUGUUUAAGUCAGUUGUGAAAGUUUGCGGCUCAACCGUAAAAUUGCAGUUGAUACUGGAUAUCUUGAGUGCAGUUGAGGCAGGCGGAAUUCGUGGUGUAGCGGUGAAAUGCUUAGAUAUCACGAAGAACUCCGAUUGCGAAGGCAGCCUGCUAAGCUGCAACUGACAUUGAGGCUCGAAAGUGUGGGUAUCAAACAGGAUUAGAUACCCUGGUAGUCCACACGGUAAACGAUGAAUACUCGCUGUUUGCGAUAUACUGCAAGCGGCCAAGCGAAAGCGUUAAGUAUUCCACCUGGGGAGUACGCCGGCAACGGUGAAACUCAAAGGAAUUGACGGGGGCCCGCACAAGCGGAGGAACAUGUGGUUUAAUUCGAUGAUACGCGAGGAACCUUACCCGGGCUUAAAUUGCAGAUGAAUUACGGUGAAAGCCGUAAGCCGCAAGGCAUCUGUGAAGGUGCUGCAUGGUUGUCGUCAGCUCGUGCCGUGAGGUGUCGGCUUAAGUGCCAUAACGAGCGCAACCCUUGUUGUCAGUUACUAACAGGUUCCGCUGAGGACUCUGACAAGACUGCCAUCGUAAGAUGUGAGGAAGGUGGGGAUGACGUCAAAUCAGCACGGCCCUUACGUCCGGGGCUACACACGUGUUACAAUGGGGGGUACAGAGGGCCGCUACCACGCGAGUGGAUGCCAAUCCCCAAAACCUCUCUCAGUUCGGACUGGAGUCUGCAACCCGACUCCACGAAGCUGGAUUCGCUAGUAAUCGCGCAUCAGCCACGGCGCGGUGAAUACGUUCCCGGGCCUUGUACACACCGCCC